rnacentral:lncRNA from 1 species
CUCCGUUACUGUGUGCGUGUGGAGGGUGGCCAAGUGCCCCCGUGGAUGUGCACCUCGGCUCGCCGGUUUUGUUCCUGCCCUGGCCGCAUGCACAGCCAGCCUUCGGUGGUUUCCUCUAUAAAUCUCACCAUCUUUCAUAAAGUCCGUGCAUAUAGAAAAGACUGCAGAAUUUCGGAAUCCUGUAACAACUUCAUUCAUCUAUUACCAGACUUCAUGAAUUUCAGAGAGUGUGGCAGCAUAUUCACUGAAAGCAAAUUUUAAAUUUGCAUUGGAAACAUGAACUUAAGAGUUAAAUUUAUUCAGCUGAGAAACAGAAACAUAAGCAGAAAAUCUUCCCGAAGAAGGCAGAAUAUCAGAUACAUACAACAUAGUGCUCGUAAAGAACUAUGGACUAAAAUGUUGCUCCACAAAUUUUUUUAUGAACUUAUAUAUUGGAAAAAAUAAUGAUCUCUUUAUGGUAAGCUCAGAAAUACAGAAAAAUGAAAUAUCUAAUGGAUACAUAAAUUAUUAACCCACAUCUGUUGACUGACCUGUCUGAAAGGUCUUACAGUAAUGAUAAAAAUACUCCAUGAUCAAAAUGAACCUUUCUUAACUAAAAUCUGCUUUUGAAGCAAAUGGAAUCUAUGUUUCUGUCCAGUUUUCAUGAUCUAAUAUAAAACACAUAGAAAAAUAAGUAUAGUAAUAUUUUAUCUGUUUUACUUGGAAAAUGCAAUUUGAAACAUUAUCUGCAGCAUCUUACCUUCUCUCCCUUUCUCCUUUAGGACCAGCAUAGCUCUUACAAUUUUCUGCAAAAUGUGUUUUUCUGAAAAAGCAUUUGCAUGGGUGUUAUUGUCCAGUAGAGGGUGGCAUUUGGUUGUAUUUGUAAUUUUUUUCUGUUUAUAUCGAACCACUGAUACAAUUGAAUAUACUUUGAAAUCUCCUUCCACACAUUAUUUUAUUUUAGGCUCAUUAGUGUGAAAUUCCAUUUUAAAUAGCAUAGCCUAGCUCUGAAAACUUCAAUGCCAGCACAAAUUCCU